GCGAUGGAGCAAGAGUUGCUGCUAUGGCCGUCGGGACUUACCCUCUGCGAUUACCAUUAGGAAUUAAUUUAAUUUUAAAAGACUGCUAUUAUGUACCGAUAGCUAGUAGAAAUUUAAUUUUCAUAUCUGUGCUAGCACAGGAUAACUAUAAUUUUUAUUUCAAUAAAGAUAUGUGUGUAGUUUAUUUUGAAAAUAAAGUUGUUACACAUACUUUCUUGAUUGACGGUCUUUAUCAUUUGCAUAUGGAUGCAA
rnacentral:lncRNA from 1 species